GUCGAUAGAAGAAUGUAGAUAAGGGAAGUCGGCAAACUAGAUCCGUAACUUCGGGAAAAGGAUUGGCUCUAAGGAUUGGGCCUAGGGGUCUCCUUGCUUCAGUUGUGGCUGCUAGGAGGGACUGCGGGCAACUGCGGACCCUCCCGGCGGCCCUUCCUCGGCUUGGAGUAUGCCACGGCAAUGAACAAUCAGCUUAGAACUGGAGCGGACAAGGGGAAUCCGACUGUUUAAUUAAAACUAAGCAUUGCGAUGGCUGGAGACGGUGUUGACGCAAU
rnacentral:rRNA from 1 species